rnacentral:lncRNA from 1 species
GAGAUGACAUUUAUAUCUGUGAACCAGUUCGAUUUCAUGCCGGGUCGCUCCACUAUAGAAGCUAUCCACCUUGUCAGGAGGCUGGUGGAGCAGUUCAGGGAUAAGUGCCGGAUCGCUCCACUACAGAAGCUAUCCACCUUGUUAGGAGGCUGGUGGAGCAGUUCAGGGAUAAGAAGAAGGGCCUGCACAUGGUGCUUAUCGACUUGGAGAAGGCGUAUGACAAUGUCCCAAGGGAGGUGCUAUGGAGGUUCUUGGAGGCGAAGAGCGUGCCGGAAGCCUACAUCAGAGUAAUCAA